rnacentral:rRNA from 1 species
UAGGGAAUCUUCCACAAUGGACGCAAGUCUGAUGGAGCAACGCCGCGUGAGUGAAGAAGGUUUUCGGACCGUAAAGCUCUGUUGUUGGUGAAGAAGGAUAGAGGUAGUAACUGGCCUUUAUUUGACGGUAAUCAACCAGAAAGUCACGGCUAACUACGUGCCAGCAGCCGCGGUAAUCGUAGGUGGCAAGCGUUGUCCGGAUUUAUUGGGCGUAAAGCGAGCGCAGGCGGAAGAAUAAGUCUGAUGUGAAAGCCCUCGGCUUAACCGAGGAAUUGCAUCGGAAACUGUUUUCUUGAGUGCAGAAGAGGAGAGUAGAACUCCAUGUGUAGCGGUGGAAUGCGUAGAUAUAUGGAAGAAUACCAGUGGCGAAGGCGGCUCUCUGGUCUGCAACUGACGCUGAGGCUCGAAAGCAUGGGUAGCGAACAGGAUUAGAUACCCUGGUAGUCCAUGCCGUAAACGAUGAGUGCUAAGUGUUGGGAGGCCUCCGCCUCUCAGUGCUGCAGCUAACGCAUUAAGCACUCCGCCUGGGGGAGUACGACCGCAAGGUUGAAAC